AUGCAGUCGAACGAUGAAGCCCAGCUUGCUGGGUGGAUUAGUGGCGAACGGGUGAGUAACACGUGAGUAACCUGCCCUUAACUCUGGGAUAAGCCUGGGAAACUGGGUCUAAUACCGGAUAGGAGCGUCUACCGCAUGGUGGGUGUUGGAAAGAUUUAUCGGUUUUGGAUGGACUCGCGGCCUAUCAGCUUGUUGGUGAGGUAAUGGCUCACCAAGGCGACGACGGGUAGCCGGCCUGAGAGGGUGACCGGCCACACUGGGACUGAGACACGGCCCAGACUCCUACGGGAGGCAGCAGUGGGGAAUAUUGCACAAUGGGCGCAAGCCUGAUGCAGCGACGCCGCGUGAGGGAUGACGGCCUUCGGGUUGUAAACCUCUUUCAGUAGGGAAGAAGCGAAAGUGACGGUACCUGCAGAAGAAGCACCGGCUAACUACGUGCCAGCAGCCGCGGUAAUACGUAGGGUGCGAGCGUUAUCCGGAAUUAUUGGGCGUAAAGAGCUCGUAGGCGGUUUGUCGCGUCUGUCGUGAAAGUCCGGGGCUUAACCCCGGAUCUGCGGUGGGUACGGGCAGACUAGAGUGCAGUAGGGGAGACUGGAAUUCCUGGUGUAGCGGUGGAAUGCGCAGAUAUCAGGAGGAACACCGAUGGCGAAGGCAGGUCUCUGGGCUGUAACUGACGCUGAGGAGCGAAAGCAUGGGGAGCGAACAGGAUUAGAUACCCUGGUAGUCCAUGCCGUAAACGUUGGGCACUAGGUGUGGGGACCAUUCCACGGUUUCCGCGCCGCAGCUAACGCAUUAAGUGCCCCGCCUGGGGAGUACGGCCGCAAGGCUAAAACUCAAAGGAAUUGACGGGGGCCCGCACAAGCGGCGGAGCAUGCGGAUUAAUUCGAUGCAACGCGAAGAACCUUACCAAGGCUUGACAUGUUCUCGAUCGCCGUAGAGAUACGGUUUCCCCUUUGGGGCGGGUUCACAGGUGGUGCAUGGUUGUCGUCAGCUCGUGUCGUGAGAUGUUGGGUUAAGUCCCGCAACGAGCGCAACCCUCGUUCCAUGUUGCCAGCACGUAAUGGUGGGGACUCAUGGGAGACUGCCGGGGUCAACUCGGAGGAAGGUGAGGACGACGUCAAAUCAUCAUGCCCCCUUAUGUCUUGGGCUUCACGCAUGCUACAAUGGCCGGGUACAAUGGGGUUGGGAUACUGUGGAGGUGGAACUAAUCCCAAAAACCGGCUCCACUUCGG
rnacentral:rRNA from 1 species